rnacentral:rRNA from 1 species
AGAACGAACGCUGGCGGCAUGCCUAAUACAUGCAAGUCGAACGAACUCUUCGGAGUUAGUGGCGCACGGGUGCGUAACGCGUGGGAAUCUGCCCCUUGGUUCGGAAUAACAGUUGGAAACGACUGCUAAUACCGGAUGAUGACGAAAGUCCAAAGAUUUAUCGCCAAGGGAUGAGCCCGCGCAGGAUUAGCUAGUUGGUGAGGUAAAGGCUCACCAAGGCAACGAUCCUUAGCUGGUCUGAGAGGAUGAUCAGCCACACUGGGACUGAGACACGGCCCAGACUCCUACGGGAGGCAGCAGUAGGGAAUAUUGGACAAUGGGCGAGAGCCUGAUCCAGCAAUGCCGCGUGAGUGAUGAAGGCCUUAGGGUUGUAAAGCUCUUUACCCGAGAUGAUAAUGACAGUAUCGGAGAAUAAGCCCGCUAACUCCGUGCUAGCAGCCGC